AACGAACGCUGGCGGCGUGGAUAAGACAUGCAAGUCGAGCGGGAACUUUCGCUGUAGCAAUACAGUGAAAGUUCUAGCGGCGAACGGGUGCGUAACACGUGGACAAUCUGCCUUAAAGUGGGGGAGUAGCUCGGCGAAAGACCGAAUUAAUACCGCAUGUGAUGAGAGACGACAUCGUCUUGAAAUCAAAGACCGGGGCGAACCUGGCGCUUUUUGUAGGAGUCCGCCGGCCAUCAGCUUGUUGGUGAGGUAACGGCUCACCAAGGCUAUGACGGGUAGCUGGUCUGAGAGGACGACCAGUCACACUGGAACUGAGACACGGUCCAGACACCUACGGGUGGCAGCAGUCGAGUAAUUUUUAGUAC
rnacentral:rRNA from 1 species